AUGAACGCUGGCGGCGUGCUUAACGCAUGCAAGUCGAACGAUUAAAGCUCACUUCGGUGAGUGUAUAGAGUGGCGAACGGGUGAGUAACACGUGGGAAACCUGCCCCUUUCUUCGGGAUAACUUCGGGAAACCGUUGCUAAUACCGGAUACUCCGGGAUGGUCGCAUGGCCGACCCGGGAAAGCUUUAUGUGGAAAGGGAUGGUCCCGCGGCCCAUUAGCUUGUUGGUGGGGUAAUGGCCUACCAAGGCGAUGAUGGGUAGCCG
rnacentral:rRNA from 1 species